GAUGAACGCUGGCGGCGUGCCUAAUACAUGCAAGUCGAGCGAACAGACGAGGAGCUUGCUCCUCUGACGUUAGCGGCGGACGGGUGAGUAACACGUGGAUAACCUACCUAUAAGACUGGGAUAACUUCGGGAAACCGGAGCUAAUACCGGAUAAUAUAUUGAACCGCAUGGUUCAAUAGUGAAAGACGGUUUUGCUGUCACUUAUAGAUGGAUCCGCGCCGCAUUAGCUAGUUGGUAAGGUAACGGCUUACCAAGGCAACGAUGCGUAGCCGACCUGAGAGGGUGAUCGGCCCCACUGGAGCUGAGACACGAUCCAGACUCCUACGGGAGGCAGCGGUUGGGACUCUUCCGCAAUGGGCGAAAGCCUGACGGAGCAACGCCGCGUGAGUGAUGAAGGUCUUCGGGUCGUAAAACUCUGUUAUAGGGAAGAACAAAUGUGUAAGUAACUAUGCACGUCUUGACGGUACCUAAUCAGAAAGCCACGGCUAACUACGUG
rnacentral:rRNA from 1 species